AUCAAGAUCUUGAUAAAUUGACGAACAAGAGAAUACAACUCAACAACUGCAUUCUAUCAAAAUGUAAAAAAUUGAUAGAACGUCUUCGAGCGAGCAACUUCGUGGUUCACACAACGCGAACUGCACGAGUCUCUUUAUUCAGAUAAUAAAGCCGAAUGUUCUGUUUUAGAUGCUGCAAACAGGAGACAAAUCUUCAAGAGCUGGUAAGAACGACGAUCUCUCUCGCUGUCACAUCCAGUGAAAUAAAACCUCCAAUCUUCUUUUGCAUCAUGCGUAUCCCACUCGAUCCACCGAAUCCAUUAGCAGAAAAGUUCACAAUUCCGUCUGGGAAGUUGGACGCGUGGGUGUACGCACAACGCCCGCCUUUGGCAACGAUCCAGCGCGUGUUUCUAACUCGUCUAACGAGGAAACGGCGGCGGGCUCGUUUCGAUCUACCGACUCCGAGGAUCUCGCUCGCCGAUCGACGAAUCGGCUCGAUCUCGAAGCGGAAGUGUUCCCAGAGUUCGAAGCGGAUCGAUAUUCCGCUGUUGGUUCGUUGAAAAAUGUUUCGCUAGAUCUGCUGUUUUUAUAUUAAGUCGGAGUUUGCAAUAAAGUUCUUGGGAACUGCUGUUCCAUCGUCCUCCGAGCGUCUUGACUACAUUGUGUUGGAGAAUAAAAUCGUUUUACGUACCGAUGACGGCCAUGUGGCCGAGUAACGCGAUUUUUAUUGUCUGUUAACGGCAAUUGGACUCAAUUGGCUGCGCCCACGAAAUAGUAAUAGUAGUUUUAUGUUUUAUAUGUUGGAUGCUCUAUAAAAUUUGUACUUUAACCCUU